rnacentral:rRNA from 1 species
GACGAACGCUGGCGGCGUGCUUAACACAUGCAAGUCGAGCGGUAAGGCCCUUUCGGGGUACGACGAGCGGCGAACGGGUGAGUAACACGUGGGUGACCUCGCCCUCAGCUCUGGGAGUAAGCCGUCGGGAAACCGGGUACUAAUACUGGAUAUGACUCCAUGACGCAUGUUGGUGGGGUGGAAAGCCUUGUGCGGCUGAGGA